rnacentral:rRNA from 1 species
UUGAGUUUGAUCCUGGCUCAGAACGAACGCUGGCGGCAGGCCUAACACAUGCAAGUCGAACGCUGUAGCAAUACAGAGUGGCAGACGGGUGAGUAACACGUGGGAAUCUUCCUAUCGGUACGGAAUAGCUCAGGGAAACUUGGGGUAAUACCGCAUACGCCCUUCGGGGGAAAGAUUUAUCGCCGAUAGAUGAGCCCGCGUCUGAUUAGCUAGUUGGUGAGGUAAUGGCUCACUAAGGCGACGAUCAGUAGCUGGUCUGAGAGGAUGAUCAGCCACACUGGGACUGAGACACGGCCCAGACUCCUACGGGAGGCAGCAGUGGGGAAUAUUGGACAAUGGGCGAAAGCCUGAUCCAGCCAUGCCGCGUGAGUGACGAAGGUCUUCGGAUUGUAAAGCUCUUUUGGCGGGGACGAUAAUGACGGUACCCGCAGAAUAAGCCCCGGCUAACUUCGUGCCAGCAGCCGCGGUAAUACGAAGGGGGCUAGCGUUGUUCGGAAUUACUGGGCGUAAAGCGCACGUAGGCGGAUUUGUUAGUCAGGGGUGAAAUCCCGGGGCUCAACCUCGGAACUGCCUUUGAUACUGCAAGUCUCGAGUCCGGAAGAGGUGAGUGGAAUUCCUAGUGUAGAGGUGAAAUUCGUAGAUAUUAGGAAGAACACCAGUGGCGAAGGCGGCUCACUGGUCCGGUACUGA